rfam:Omnitrophica bacterium RIFCSPLOWO2_12_FTLL_50_11 rifcsplowo2_12_scaffold_5167, whole genome shotgun sequence.
CAGUGGAUGAGAGAUCCACCGGUAGAGAUUGUCCAGGAGCUACCGUAGUUAUAUCUGGCAACGGGUCGUGUGAGUGACCCGUUGGAAGCCCAGAAGUAAAAGUCUCGGUGGCGAGGUGAGAACCUUGUCAGGUCCGUUGGGGAGGCGAGCAAAUCGACAGGUUGUUAAAA